rnacentral:rRNA from 1 species
UCGGAUUGUAGUCUGNAACCCGACUACAUGAAGCUGGAAUCGCUAGUAAUCGCGAAUCAGCAUGUCGCGGUGAAUACGUUCCCGGGUCUUGUACACACCGCCCGUCACACCAUGGGAGUUGGAAAUGCCCGAAGUCAGUGACCCAACCGAAAGGAGGGAGCUGCCGAAGGCAGGUUCGAUAACUGGGGUGAAGUCGUAACAAGGUACC